rnacentral:rRNA from 1 species
UACGUAGGGUGCAAGCGUUAAUCGGAAUUACUGGGCGUAAAGCGUGCGCAGGCGGUUAUAUAAGACAGUUGUGAAAUCCCCGGGCUUAACCUGGGAAUUGCAUUUGUGACUGCACGGCUAGAGUGUGUCAGAGGGGGGUAGAAUUCCACGUGUAGCAGUGAAAUGCGUAGAUAUGUGGAGGAAUACCGAUGGCGAAGGCAAUCCCCUGGACCUGUACUGACGCUCAUGCACGAAAGCGUGGGGAGCAAACAGG